rnacentral:rRNA from 1 species
GACGAACGCUGGCGGCGUGCUUAACACAUGCAAGUCGAACGAAGAGCGACGGAAGCUUGCUUCUAUCAAUCUUAGUGGCGAACGGGUGAGUAACGCGUAAUCAACCUGCCCUUCAGAGGGGGACAACAGUGGGAAACGACUGCUAAUACCGCAUACGAUCUAACCUCGGCAUCGAGGAUAGAUGAAAGGUGGCCUCUACAUGUAAGCUAUCACUGAAGGAGGGGAUUGCGUCUGAUUAGCUAGUUGGAGGGGUAACGGCCCACCAAGGCGAUGAUCAGUAGCCGGUCGGAGAGGAUGAACGGCCACAUUGGGACUGAGACACGGCCCAGACGCCUGCGGGAGGCAGCAGUGGGGAAUCUUCCGCAAUGGACGAAAGUCUGACGGAGCAACGCCGCGUGAGUGAUGACGGCCUUCGGGUUGUAAAGCUCUGUUACUCGGGACGAAAGGCCUUCUUGCGAAUAGUGAGAAGGAUUGACGGUACCGGAAGAGAAAGCCACGGCUAACUACGUG